rnacentral:rRNA from 1 species
AUUGAACGCUGGCGGCAGGCCUAACACAUGCAAGUCGAACGGUAACAGGAAGAAGCUUGCUUCUUUGCUGACGAGUGGCGGACGGGUGAGUAAUGUCAGGGAAACUGCCUGAUGGAGGGGGAUAACUACUGGAAACGGUAGCUAAUACCGCAUAAUGUCGCAAGACCAAAGAGGGGGAGCUUCGGGCCUCUGGCCAUGGGAUGUGCCCAGGUGGGAUUAGCUAGUAGGUGGGGUAACGGCUCACCUAGGCGACGAGCCGUAGCUGGUCUGAGAGGAUGACCGGCCACAUUGGAGCUGAGACACGGUCAAUACUCCUACGGGAGGCCGCAGUGGGGAAUAUUGCACAAUGGGCGCAAGUCUUAUGCAGCUAUGCGGCGUGUAUGAAGAAGGCCUUCGGUUUGUAAAGUACGUUCAGCGGUGAGGAACGGAGUAAAGUUAAUACCUUGGCUCAUUGACGUUAACCGGAGAAGAAGCACCGGCUAACUCCGUG